AUUGAACGCUGGCGGCAUGCCUUACACAUGCAAGUCGAGCGGGGGAAGGUAGCUUGCUACCGGACCUAGCGGCGGACGGGUGAGUAAUGCUUAGGAAUCUGCCUAUUAGUGGGGGACAACAUCUCGAAAGGGAUGCUAAUACCGCAUACGUCCUACGGGAGAAAGCAGGGGACCUUCGGACCUUGCGCUAAUAGAUGAGCCUAAGUCGGAUUAGCUAGUUGGUGGGGUAAAGGCCUACCAAGGCGACGAUCUGUAGCGGGUCUGAGAGGAUGAUCCGCCACACUGGGACUGAGACACGGCCCGGACUCCUACGGGAGGCAGCAGUGGGGAAUAUUGGACAAUGGGGGGAACCCUGAUCCAGCCAUGCCGCGUGUGUGAAGAAGGCCUUAUGGUUGUAAAGCACUUUAAGCGAGGAGGAGGCUACUCUAGUUAAUACCCAAGAUGAGUGGACGUUACUCGCAGAAUAAGCACCGGCUAACUCUGUGCCAGCCGCCGCGGUAA
rnacentral:rRNA from 1 species